rnacentral:rRNA from 1 species
UACAGAGGUCUCAAGCGUUGUUCGGAUUCAUUGGGCGUAAAGGGUGCGUAGGCGGCGCGGUAAGUCGGGUGUGAAAUCUCGGGGCUUAACUCCGAAACUGCAUUCGAUACUGCUGUGCUUGAGGACUGGAGAGGAGACUGGAAUUUACGGUGUAGCGGUGAAAUGCGUAGAUAUCGUAAGGAAGACCAGUGGCGAAGGCGGGUCUCUGGACAGUUCCUGACGCUGAGGCACGAAGGCCAGGGGAGCAAACGGG